rnacentral:rRNA from 1 species
CCGAGAGGCGUAGGCGAUGGACAACCGGGUUGAUAUUCCCGUACCCGCGAAAGAGCGACCCUGACGAACCUCGUUGUGCUAACCACCCGAACCUCGGGAGGUCUUCGGACCGAACGAGGGGAGCGUGGGAACCUGACGGGUAGUAGUCAAGCGAUGGGGUGACGCAGGAAGGUAGCUGAGCCCGGCCGGUGGUUGUGCCGGGGUAAGCGUGUAGGCCGUGCCGUAGGCAAAUCCGCGGCGCAUAUAGGCUGAGACGUGAUGCCGAGCCGAUCCAGGUGAAGUCAGUGAUCCUAUGCUGCCGAGAAAAGCCUCUAGCGAGUUCUUAGCGGCCCGUACCCCAAACCGACACAUGG